rnacentral:rRNA from 1 species
UACGUAGGGUGCGAGCGUUGUCCGGAAUUAUUGGGCGUAAAGAGCUCGUAGGCGGUCUGUCGCGUCUGCUGUGAAAACUCAGGGCUUAACCCUGAGCUUGCAGUGGGUACGGGCAGACUAGAGUGCGGUAGGGGAGACUGGAAUUCCUGGUGUAGCGGUGAAAUGCGCAGAUAUCAGGAGGAACACCGGCGGCGAAGGCGGGUCUCUGGGCCGUAACUGACGCUGAGGAGCGAAAGCGUGGGGAGCGAACAGG